GACGAACGCUGGCGGCGUGCCUAAUACAUGCAAGUAGGACGCAGUUGCGAACGGGUGAGUAACGCGUAGGUAACUACCUAUUAGAGGGGGAUAACCAUUGGAAACGAUAGCUAAUACUGCAUACUAGUAGAUGGACCUGCGUUGUAUUAGCUAGUAGGUAGGGCAACGGCCUACCUAGGCAAAGAUACAUAGCCGACCUGAGAAGGUGGACAGCCAAAAUGGGACUGGGACACGGCCCAAACUCCUACGGGAGGCAACAGUAGGGGAACUUCGGCAAAGGGGGGAAACCUGACCGAGCAACGCCGCGGGGGUGAAAAAGGUUUUCGGGUCGUAAAACUCUGUUGUUAAGGAAGCGGUACUUAACCAGAAAGCGACGGCUAACUACGUGCCAGCAGCCGCGGUAAUUC
rnacentral:rRNA from 1 species